GCUGGGCAUGGUGGCAUGUGCCUGUAGUCCCAACUACUUGGGAGGCUGAGGCAGGAGGAUUAUUUGAGCCCAGGAGGUCAAGGCUGCAGUGAGCCAUGAUCGAGCCACUGCACUCCAGCCUGGGUGACAGAGUAAGAUCCUGUCUCAA
rnacentral:SRP_RNA from 1 species